AGAGGUGAGCUAUGGUUCAGUGGCAGAGCAUCUGCUUUUCAUGCAAGAGGUCCCAGGUUCAACCCCAGACAUCUUCC
rnacentral:tRNA from 1 species